rnacentral:rRNA from 1 species
GGGGUAAAAUCCGUAGAUACACAGAGGAAUACCAAAAGCGAAGGCAGCGUACUGGGAAGUCACUGACGCUCAGGGACGAAAGCGUGGGUAGCGAACGGGAUUAGAUACCCCGGUAGUCCACGCCGUAAACGAUGGAUACUAGUUGUUGGAGGACUCGACCCCUCCAGUGACGUCGCUAACGCAUUAAGUAUCCCGCCUGGGGAGUACGGUCGCAAGAUUAAAACUCAAAGGAAUAGACGGGGACCCACACAAGCGGUGGAGCAUGUGGUUUAAUUCGACGAUAAGCGAGGAACCUUACCUGGACUUGACAUCCCGAGAAUUUCCCUGAAAAGGGAAAGUGCCGCAAGGAACUCGGUGACAGGUGCUGCAUGGUUGUCGUCAGCUCGUGCCUUGAGGUGUUCGGUUAAGUCCGUGAACGAGCGCAACCCUUGUCCUGUGUUGUAUUUUCACAGGAGACUGCCGGCUUUAAGUCGGAGGAAGGUAAGGAUGACGUCAAAUCAGCAUGGCCCUUAUGUCCAGGGCUACACACGUGCUACAAUGGCAGGUACAAUAGGCAGCAAACCCGCGAGGGGGAGCCAAUCCUCAAAAACCUGUCCUAAGUUCGAAUUGAUGGCUGCAACUCGCCAUCAUGAAGUUGGAAUCGCUAGUAACCGCGUAUCAGCAAUGACGCGGUGAAUAUGUUCCUGGGUCUUGUACUCACCGCCCGUCACGUCAUGAAAGGUGGAGGCACCCGAAGUACCGUUAUCAUUUAUGAGCGGUCCUAAGGUGAAACCACUGAUUGGGACGAAGUCGUAACAAGGUAGCCGUAGA